AGAUACCUGGUAGUCCACGCUGUAAACGAUGUCUACUUGAAGGUUGUGGCCUUGAGCCGUGGCUUUCGGAGCUAACGCGUUAAGUAGACCGCCUGGGGGAGUACGGUCGCAAGAUUAAAACUCAAAUGAAUUGACGGGGGCCCGCACAAGCGGUGGAGCAUGUGGUUUAAUUCGAUGCAACGCGAAGAACCUUACCUACUCUUGACAUCCACAGAAGAGACCAGAGAUGGACUUGUGCCUUCGGGAACUGUGAGACAGGUGCUGCAUGGCUGUCGUCAGCUCGUGUUGUGAAAUGUUGGGUUAAGUCCCGCAACGAGCGCAACCCUUAUCCUUGUUUGCCAGCACGUAAUGGUGGGAACUCCAGGGAGACUGCCGGUGGUAAACCGGAGGAAGGUGGGGACGACGUCAAGUCAUCAUGGCCCUUACGAGUAGGGCUACACACGUGCUACAAUGGCGUAUACAGAGGGCUGCCAACCAGCGAUGGUGAGCGAAUCCCACAAAGUACGUCGU
rnacentral:rRNA from 1 species